CUAAGCAUCACAUACCCCUGAGGAUAUUCUUAGAUGAACAGAAAGACACAAUGCCUACGUGCAACUAAUCAUAUAAGGUAAUAUUUAUCAAAAUGAACUGCAAGAAAUGAAAACAAGAGGAUUUUCCUUC